GAUGAACGCUGGCGGCGUGCUUAACACAUGCAAGUCGAACGAAGCACUUAAGAUUGCUUCUUCGGAUGACGUCUUUUGUGACUUAGUGGCGGACGGGUGAGUAACGCGUGGGUAACCUGCCUCACACAGGGGGAUAACAGUUAGAAAUGACUGCUAAUACCGCAUAACCCGAUAGGAUCGCAUGAUCCAGACGGAAAAGAUUUAUCGGUGUGAGAUGGACCCGCGUCUGAUUAGCUAGUUGGUGAGGUAACGGCCCACCAAGGCGACGAUCAGUAGCCGGCCUGAGAGGGUGAACGGCCACAUUGGGACUGAGACACGGCCCAAACUCCUACGGGAGGCAGCAGUGGGGAAUAUUGCACAAUGGGGGAAACCCUGAUGCAGCGACGCCGCGUGAGUGAAGAAGUAUUUCGGUAUGUAAAGCUCUAUCAGCAGGGAAGAAAAUGACGGUACCUGACGAAGAAGCCCCGGCUAACUACGUG
rnacentral:rRNA from 1 species